rfam:Operophtera brumata OBRT01_Sc03188, whole genome shotgun sequence.
AAAAAGGCCCUUUUCAGGGCCACAAUAUGAUUCGAUUUUUUAUUUU